UCCUCGUACACAUCUCUCCCGUAUCCUCCUCCUCCUCCCAGCCCACUCAUGGCGGCGAGCCGGCGCUUGCUCCGCCGCCCUUCCGCUCGCCCCACCUCCCUCCCCUAGCCUGACCGCCCAGCACCGCGUCCUGUGGCCUCGCCGCCCUCCCCGGGCCCCCGACGCUGGCCUCCAACGACCCCGACGAGGCCCGGCGCCGACCUCACAGGACCCCGGUGAGGCCCGACGCCGUCCUCCCAGGUCCUCCACGGCAGCUGCUGGGGCGGCCUCCCAGGCUCCCGACGCUGCCCUCCCUGGCCCUCGACAGCAGCUUCCGACUCGGCUCUCCCCAACAGCUCAGCGCCAUCCUACCAGGGCCCUCAACCUUAUUCGAUGGGCGAUUUCAAAGUAGAAAUAGAUGUCCAAUCUUACUUGAUGAUUGUAGAUGGCAGAAGAGUGUACACAAGGGGCAAAACAUGGAAUUUUAUGGCCGGUCGGGGCUUGUCUGUGGCGCGGAUAAAGGAGGUUGUGGAGGAGAGGUACAAAUGGUCUGCUGAUCAGAGAAUGACCAUUUGGUAUGGAUUUGGAGAUAACGCCGUCCCAUUGAUCUCUGAAUCAGAGAUAGCCCAAUUGUUUGAUACAUGUUCUAACACAAAAGUAGUAAGGUUUUCAAUAAUUGGAUUAAGGACAUGAAGCAGCUUGCAUUGGUUGAGCUUUUGGACAACCUUAGGGAAAUGAUAACGAAAUUGUUAGAGAAAAGGAGAGCCGUUGCCGGUGCGCUUCUAGGUUACAUACUACCUAGUGUGAUAAAGGAGUUGAAUUUGAAAAGCAAGGGGCUGCAUUAUUUGGAAGCAAGAGCAUCGCCAAAUAUAGCUGAGAUUUCAGGAAAUGGAUGGAGGCACACCGUUAACUUGGAGAAAAAUGAGUGCUCUUGUAGGAGAUGGCGGAUUUGUGGUAAGCCAUGCACACAUGCUCUUCGGUUCAUAUUCUCCAAAAAAGCCAAGCAUGAGGAUUAUAUUGAUGAGUGCUUCUCAGUGGCAAGGUUCAAAGCGGCAUAUGAGGGAAUUCUCAUGCCAAUUAGGGGCAGGUCCCAAUGGCCCAAGGUAAAUCCUGGAUUUGAUAUGAUCCCUCCCAAGCUUACCAAGAGUGCUGGACGUCCAAGAACUAGGAGGAUAAAGAAUGACACCGAAGGUGGAACCGGCAGAAAACAUAAAUGCAAAAGGUGUGGAGCAUUAGGUCAUCUUUGGAAGACAUGCAAGGAGCCAGAGAUUGAAAGUGACGCGGACCGAGAUGCUACUCCUCCUCCACAAUAAUUAUUUCAUGAGUCUAAAUUCCUUUCACUUGUUGCCAAAUGUCUUGCAUAUUAAUUGCUAAUAAUGUUGUAUUGAACUGUAGGAAAAUUCAAAGGUUGAAGCAAGCAUUGCAGCUACUUCUUCUCGUAUUACACCAACAAGGUACUCAACUUGUUACUCCUACAAGUCCAAUGACAAGGCAAAGGGCAGCAGCUAUUGCAAUUGCUUCAACACCUCCUAGUGCCUCUACAAGGAGCAAAACUGCUGCUCCUAGCCCUCUUCGAUGAGUUUAGUUCAUUUGGUUGUGAGAACCAUGAUCUUUUGCUUAUGGUAUGAGUUUGCUGUACUGGAAUGCAGAUUAUACUAGCCACUUGUCUUUUCCGUUCAUUAAUUUUCUCUAAAAACAUUUGGAUUCUAAAUUGCCUUCAUCCUGAUCCUUACUCCAUUCUCUCUAAAAACAACAAUGCCAUGUGAAGGAGGAUAUCAGCAAGCUUUGGGAUGUUGAGCGCUCCAGAUCAGAUAUAUGGAUUUUGGUUCGUCAAUCAGGGAGAGCAGAGAGCUGCAUUUCCUUAGUCAGUUGCAGUUCUAACUGUUUUUAUUAUAAUUUGUAGCAGAUUAAUUAGAUGCUAUGUAACCGGAGCAAGUACUCCUAUCCUAUGGUACGAUGACUGUUUGCAACUGUGCUUGCAUGCUUAGUAGCAGAAUGGUGUAUGUGAUCAGGAGGUGCUCUUUUGCUAAUUGCUAUAUUGUGUUGUGAGAACCAUUUUGUGUCCAUGUCCAUUUUGUGUUGAAGAGGUAAGGGCAUGCAAGUCUUUUUUUGGA